rnacentral:rRNA from 1 species
GGCAUCGGGAUUGAAGCUUGCUUCAGUUGCCGGCGACCGGCGCACGGGUGCGUAACGCGUAUGUAACCUACCUAUAACAGGGGCAUAACACUGAGAAAUUGGUACUAAUUCCCCAUAAUAUUCGGAGAGGCAUCUCUCCGGGUUGAAGACUCCGGUGGUUAUAGAUGGACAUGCGUUGUAUUAGCUAGUUGGUGAGGUAACGGCUCACCAAGGCAACGAUACAUAGGGGGACUGAGAGGUUAACCCCCCACACUGGUACUGAGACACGGAUCAGACUCCUACGGGAGGCAGCAGUGAGGAAUAUUGGUCAAUGGACGCAAGUCUGAACCAGCCAUGCCGCGUGCAGGAAGACGGCUCUAUGAGUUGUAAACUGCUUUUGUACGAGGGUAAACUCACCUACGUGUAGGUGACUGAAAGUAUCGUACGAAUAAGGAUCGGCUAACUCCGUGCCAGCAGCCGCGGUAAUACGGAGGAUUCAAGCGUUAUCCGGAUUUAUUGGGUUUAAAGGGUGCGUAGGCGGUUUGAUAAGUUAGAGGUGAAAUCCCGGGGCUUAACUCCGGAACUGCCUCUAAUACUGUUAGACUAGAGAGUAGUUGCGGUAGGCGGAAUGUAUGGUGUAGCGGUGAAAUGCUUAGAGAUCAUACAGAACACCGAUUGCGAAGGCAGCUUACCAAACUAUAUCUGACGUUGAGGCACGAAAGCGUGGGGAGCAAACAGGAUUAGAUACCCUGGUAGUCCACGCAGUAAACGAUGAUAACUCGUUGUCGGCGAUACACAGUCGGUGACUAAGCGAAAGCGAUAAGUUAUCCACCUGGGGAGUACGUUCGCAAGA